AGGAAGCAAUAAGAAAAAACAUAUCUAUGAUGAACAUGUUUUAUGUUCGGAUUUACUCGCAUUCAUUCGUUCUUCUUUUUCUUCAGCUUCUUUUUCCGCUUCUUUUCUUUUUUUCUGCUUUGUUUUUCCUUAACUAUGCUAAUU
rnacentral:ribozyme from 15 species